GGGGGUGUACUGGUUUCGACGGGGUCGUUGAGAUCAGGAAAGCGGGUGGAGGAUUCUCGUUUGCCUCCUUAAAAAACGGGAAAUGCAAGUAAUUGCAGACAAUACACAGUUAGUAGCUGCUUAAUAUAGCUACCGCCUAGGUGUUAUAUCUGCGUGAUACUAAUAGGCGCCAUUUGCAGACCUUAUCGGAUAGAGGAUAAUCCGAACAACCUCAUUAGGAAAGCUUUGACCUUAUGUUGUAUUUAUGAAGCUACCGGCGCUAUCGUCUGUCUUUGGACUUAAUAGCAAGGGGAAUACUUUAAACAUAGACUGCACCCGGAGAAGUCCUGAAGGAUAUGGUUUCGGACAUGGGUUCGAUUCCCAUCACCUCCACCA
rnacentral:tmRNA from 2 species